rnacentral:rRNA from 1 species
CAGCAGCCGCGGUAAAACCAGCAGCCCAAGUGGUGGUCGCGAUUAUUGGGCCUAAAGCGCUCGUAGCCGGGCCGGUAAGUCCCUUGUGAAAUCGGACGGCCUAACCGUUCGGCGUGCAAGGGAUACUGUCGGUCUUGAGGCCGGGAGACGUCCGAGGUACUCCGGGGGUAGCGGUGAAAUGUUCUGAUCCUCGGGGGACCACCGGUGGCGAAGGCGUUCGACGAGAACGGGCCUGACGGUGAGGGGCGAAGGCUAGGGGAGCAAGCGGGAUUAGAUACCCGCGUAGUCCCUGUCUCUUAUA